CGACGAUCAGGACACUGACAGGCCACCCAAUGACAUUAAUUUUUUGGACACAAAAUGUGAAAAACUAUUCUUAUAGUAUAUUGAUCCAUUCCAUAGGGAAUGCAAAUGUAAAGAGAAGAAACAUAGUGUGAUUGAUUGUCACACAACUUGUCUGCUAUACUUCAAACUUUUAGUUGGGUGGUAGGGUUCGGAAACAGGAAGCUUUCAGUGUCUUACAAAGUGCUAAAUGAAAUUAGAUAAUCAAGAACUUCCAGAUAGACAUCUAAACAAAGUUUAAGUUUGAACCAGAACAAAUUAUGAUGCACUGGAAGUGGAGCCUCUGUGUAAACCCUCGGCAUAAAAAAUGAAAAAAAUAAAUAAAGGAAAACUUCUCAUAAGUCAUAACACUUACCAUACAGAAUUAUGUAUUUUCGAAACACUUACCAUACAGUACUAUGAAUGGAAUAUCACCAAAUAUAGAGGGGACCAUGAUGAUGGGUACUCCAGACUUUCUUGCCUUGUCAAAAGAGGCCACUCAUGUACUACUAGUCCAUAAUCUUUGAAAAAAUUAUAUACUUUUGUUCUUUUCUACCAUCAUUUUUAUUCAUCUUUUGUCCUCAACAUAGCACCCCACACACAAUCAACAAUCAACAAUCAACAAUCAAGUCAUGUUACAUAACAUUAACAUCUGGUGAGGAAUCGGAACUAACCAUGUUAUGAGUUGGAUGGGAUUCACUGUACUUGGUAAAGAUCUUUUCGUCGGUGUGAUCAGUGCUCCAUAUAUUUGAUUGAUACAUAUCCAAAGAAUUACAUAAUCGAAAACACAUUCUAACUCUAUAGAUCUUAGUGGAGGUAUUACCGUAUCAGUAAAUCGGUCACAAGUUUCUUGACUGCAUUCCUGGCUUCAGUCCAGCAUGCAGUGCUUCAACAAGAAUCCAAGGGCAGCUGAAGCCAAAAAUCUUUAUCCUUAGAUUAGGAAAUGAUCAGAAUUAUAAG
rnacentral:lncRNA from 1 species